AUGCGGCGUUUGGGCCGAGACGCAGCUGCUCCUCUGUCCACAGCUGUGCUGUCCCAGGUGCAGCUGCAGGAGUCAGGCCCUGGCCUGCGGAGGCCUGUGCAGAUGCCGUCCCUCUCUUGUGCGGCCUCUGGUGACUCCAUCAGCAUGGUGACUGCGGAGCUGGACCUGACAGGCCUCAGGGAAACGCUGGAGUGGACUGGACACAUCUAUAAAUGUGGGAGCACCGCAUACAGCCCGAGCCUCCAGAGCAGAGUCACCAUGACAGUGCACACCUCCAAGGACCAGUGCUCCCUGCAGCUGAGCUCCGUGACCAUGGAGGACACGGCCUUGCACUAUGUGUAG